GUCGCUGAUGAAUCGCCCAAUAUUUGGAGGGUGCAGAUGGACCCAAGUUCCUGUUCAUCAGGAAGAACCUACUUGAGCCGCUGCACUCACAUGACAACAACGGGCAUCCUGAGGU